rnacentral:snRNA from 1 species
UUUUUGUUCUGGGGUAUUUCAU